GUGUCAGCAGCCGCGGUAAUACGUAGGGUGCGAGCGUUAAUCGGAAUUACUGGGCGUAAAGCGUGCGUAGGUGGUUCGUUGUGUCUGUGGUGAAAGCCCCGGGCUUAACCUGGGAAUGGCCAUGGAAACUGGCGAGCUGGAGUGUGGCAGAGGGGGGUGGAAUUCCGCGUGUAGCAGUGAAAUGCGUAGAGAUGCGGAGGAACACCGAUGGCGAAGGCAGCCCCCUGGGCUAACACUGACGCUGAGGCACGAAAGCGUGGGGAGCAAACAGGAUUAGAAACCCCCGUAGUCC
rnacentral:rRNA from 1 species